rnacentral:rRNA from 1 species
UACGAAGGGGGCUAGCGUUGUUCGGAUUCAUUGGGCGUAAAGGGUGCGUAGGCGGCGCGGUAAGUCGGGUGUGAAAUCUCGGAGCUUAACUCCGAAACUGCAUUCGAUACUGCCGUGCUUGAGGACUGGAGAGGAGACUGGAAUUUACGGUGUAGCGGUGAAAUGCGUAGAUAUCGAGAGGAACACCUGCGGCGAAGGCGGGUUGCUGGGCUGAUACUGACGCUGAUGCGCGAAAGCUAGGGGAGCGAACGGG